rnacentral:rRNA from 1 species
CGAACAGAUGAGGAGCUUGCUCCUCUGACGUUAGCGGCGGACGGGUGAGUAACACGUGGAUAACCUACCUAUAAGACUGGGAUAACUUCGGGAAACCGGAGCUAAUACCGGAUAAUAUAUUGAACCGCAUGGUUCAAUAGUGAAAGACGGUUUUGCUGUCACUUAUAGAUGGAUCCGCGCCGCAUUAGCUAGUUGGUAAGGUAACGGCUUACCAAGGCAACGAUGCGUAGCCGACCUGAGAGGGUGAUCGGCCACACUGGAACUGAGACACGGUCCAGACUCCUACGGGAGGCAGCAGUAGGGAAUCUUCCGCAAUGGGCGAAAGCCUGACGGAGCAACGCCGCGUGAGUGAUGAAGGUCUUCGGAUCGUAAAACUCUGUUAUUAGGGAAGAACAAAUGUGUAAGUAACUAUGCACGUCUUGACGGUACCUAAUCAGAAAGCCACGGCUAACUACGUGCCAGCAGCCGCGGUAAUACGUAGGUGGCAAGCGUUAUCCGGAAUUAUUGGGCGUAAAGCGCGCGUAGGCGGUUUUUUAAGUCUGAUGUGAAAGCCCACGGCUCAACCGUGGAGGGUCAUUGGAAACUGGAAAACUUGAGUGCAGAAGAGGAAAGUGGAAUUCCAUGUGUAGCGGUGAAAUGCGCAGAGAUAUGGAGGAACACCAGUGGCGAAGGCGACUUUCUGGUCUGUAACUGACGCUGAUGUGCGAAAGCGUGGGGAUCAAACAGGAUUAGAUACCCUGGUAGUCCACGCCGUAAACGAUGAGUGCUAAGUGUUAGGGGGUUUCCGCCCCUUAGUGCUGCAGCUAACGCAUUAAGCACUCCGCCUGGGGAGUACGACCGCA